rnacentral:rRNA from 1 species
UCGCCAGAGUACUACGAGUAACCAACUUAAAACUCAAAGGACUUGACGGCGUCUCACCUACCUAGAGGAGCCUGUUCUAUAAUCGACAUCCCCCGAUACACCUAACCACUCUUUUGCUAAUCAGUCUGUAUACCUCCGUCGCAAGCUUACCAUAUGAGUGUCAAUUAGUGAGCAUAAUGAUCCCUACAUCAACACGUCAGGUCAAGGUGCAGCCUACAAAGUGGAAAGAAAUGGGCUACAAUUUCUAAUCUAGAACACACGGAUAGUCAUAUGAAAAAUGACAAUGAAGGAGGAUUUAGAAGUAAGGGGCAAAUAGAGUGUCCCCNNNUNCAGCAAUCACUAU